AACUGAAGGGCACUGACUGGGUCACUGGUGAAGUUCCCCGCAGGAACUGAGUCAGACCCCAUCUCAGGGCCCUGCACAAGAUAGGUGCCUGCUCUAAGGCGUGGACCCUCGCCACAGCCCUGGCCCGUCUUGACGGGCGAGGGUUACUGUACUUGUCCCAACCGUACAGAUGAGAAAGCUGAGACUCAGGGCCAGCAACCCGGGUCCCAGCGGAGCGCCCGGCACACGCCGACACUUCAGCACCAGUGGCGGUGGCCACCACUGUGGGCGGAGAUGGCUGCGACGCGUGCGCAGAUACCUGGGAGAGAGGAUUUUUCAUGUUACCAACACAAAGAAAUGAUAAAGGUGAAAUGGCCACCAGACCCAGGCUUUCUGGAAUGCAUUCAUUUUCUGCAGUUGAAAGGGACAAUCCCGGAUCUGAAAGAAAGAGCCACAGUGACUCCAAGAGUGGAGCCAGGGCAUGCUGGACACUGCAUAGCUAUGGCCACGUGUGUCACCUCCGAGGGAGAUGUGAGAGAAACGCAGAGGGAUCGCUUGUGACUGUGCCUUCUCGAUGUAUGAUGGACUGUUCUGCUCAAAUAGCAGCAGUAGGGCUUAUGGGAGCCAUUGUACAGUGACAGGAACAUACCAGGACACUGAGAAUAGCGUCAUGUCAUAAGGACUCAGAGCAGGUGGACCCUGCUGUGAUGCACAAAGGUGAGGGUGCAGCUGCCCAGGACACACUCAUGCAUGUUUGUGUGGACCAUGGAAGAUGGCAGGGGAAGAGCUGUCAGGUUGCUGGGGCAGAGGGUGCGCAUGAGUACUCGCCUAGGACCAUGCAAGAUAUGAUAAAGAUCUAUGUCACUGAAUUUUGUUUCUGUAUUUGUAUCUCAGCUUCCCAGAAAUAAAAAAGAAUUCUAACAUUCA
rnacentral:lncRNA from 1 species